rnacentral:rRNA from 2 species
CGGCAUGGGGGGCAGCUACACAUGCAGUCGGACGGUAGCACACAAGGAGCUUGCUCCUUGGGUGACGAGUGGCGGACGGGUGAGUAAUGUCUGGGGAUCUGCCCGAUAGAGGGGGAUAACCACUGGAAACGGUGGCUAAUACCGCAUAACGUCGCAAGACCAAAGAGGGGGACCUUCGGGCCUCUCACUAUCGGAUGAACCCAGAUGGGAUUAGCUAGUAGGCGGGGUAAUGGCCCACCUAGGCCACGAUCCCUAGCUGGUCUGAGAGGAUGACCAGCCACACUGGAACUGAGACACGGUCCAGACUCCUACGGGAGGCAGCAGUGGGGAAUAUUGCACAAUGGGCGCAAGCCUGAUGCAGCCAUGCCGCGUGUAUGAAGAAGGCCUUCG